GACGAACGCUGGCGGCGUGCUUAACACAUGCAAGUCGAACGAUGAAGCAGAGAAACGCGCACUUCGGUUCAAAUUUCACUUCGGAUUAGUGGCAGACGGGUGAGUAACGCGUGAGCAACCUACCUCUUACAAAGGGAUAGCCUCGGGAAACCGUGAUUAAUACCAUAUGACACAUUCAUAAGGCAUCUUAAGAAUGUUAAAGCUACGGCGGUAAGAGAUGGGCUCGCGUCCCAUUAGCUAGUUGGUGAGGUAACGGCCCACCAAGGCGACGAUGGGUAACCGGCCUGAGAGGGUGAACGGUCACAUUGGAACUGAGACACGGUCCAAACUCCUACGGGGGGCAGCAGUGGGGAAUAUUGCACAAUGGAGGGAACUCUGAUGCAGCGACGCCGCGUGAGCGAUGAAGGAAUUCGUUUCGUAAAGCUCUGUUCUAUGGGAAGAAAAGGACUGUACCAUAGGAGAAAGCCCCGGCUAAAUACGUG
rnacentral:rRNA from 1 species